UACAGAGGGUCCCAAGCGUUGUUCGGAUUCACUGGGCGUAAAGGGUGCGUAGGUGGUGAGGUAAGUCGGAUGUGAAAUCUCCAGGCUCAACCUGGAAAUGGCAUGGAAACUACCUUGCUAGAGGGUUUGAGGGGGGACUGGAAUACUUGGUGUAGCAGUGAAAUGCGUAGAUAUCAAGUGGAACACCAGUGGCGAAGGCGAGUCC
rnacentral:rRNA from 1 species